UUGAACGCUGGCGGCAUGCCUUACACAUGCAAGUCGAACGGCAGCACGGGAGCUUGCUCCUGGUGGCGAGUGGCGAACGGGUGAGUAAUACAUCGGAACGUACCCUGAAGUGGGGGAUAACGUAGCGAAAGUUACGCUAAUACCGCAUAUUCUGUGAGCAGGAAAGAGGGGGGAUCGCAAGACCUCUUGCUAUACGAGCGGCCGAUGUCUGAUUAGCUAGUUGGUGAGGUAAAGGCUCACCAAGGCAACGAUCAGUAGCGGGUCUGAGAGGAUGAUCCGCCACACUGGGACUGAGACACGGCCCAGACUCCUACGGGAGGCAGCAGUGGGGAAUUUUGGACAAUGGGCGCAAGCCUGAUCCAGCCAUGCCGCGUGUCUGAAGAAGGCCUUCGGGUUGUAAAGGACUUUUGUCAGGGAGCAAAUCCUGGUGGCUAAUAUCCACCGGGGAUGAGAGUACCUGAAGAAUAAGCACCGGCUAACUACGUG
rnacentral:rRNA from 1 species